rnacentral:rRNA from 1 species
GACGAACGCUGGCGGCGUGCUUAACACAUGCAAGUCGAACGAUGAAGGAGAGCUUGCUCUCCGGAUUAGUGGCGAACGGGUGAGUAACACGUGACUACCCUGCCCCUUUCUCUGGGAUAACGCUCCGAAAGGAGUGCUAAUACCGGAUACGAACUCUGAACACAUGUUCGGAGUUGGAGAGUUUCUCGGAAAGGGAUGGAGUCGCGGCCUAUCAGCUUGUUGGUGAGGUAACGGCUCACCAAGGCGACGACGGGUAGCCGGCCUGAGAGGGCGACCGGCCACACUGGGACUGAGACACGGCCCAGACUCCUACGGGAGGCAGCAGUGGGGAAUAUUGCACAAUGGGCGAAAGCCUGAUGCAGCGACGCCGCGUGAGGGAUGAAGGUCUUCGGAUUGUAAACCUCUUUCAGUAGGGACGAAGCGAAAGUGACGGUACCUAAAGAAGAAGCACCGGCUAACUACGUGCCAGCCGCCGCCGUAA